ensembl:lncRNA
GGAGCAGAAGUCACAAAAGAAAGACCACAAUUCCCAUAACAAGGUAGAUGGGAACCCAUGAAGAACCCAGAAUUCCCACCCCAACCCAUGCCCUGGUCAGGCGUGGCCCACACUGGACCUCCACACUGGGUCAUCAGCCAACUCAAUAAACACGUCUCGAGUAUCUUAACCCGAGCCAGGUUCUGUGCUGACAUCAAGGGCUGCCCUACCCUUGAGGAGCUCUCAUUUUCUCUAGUGGGUGAGACAGAUUCAAACUCCAUUCAGUUCUACCACAGGUAUUUAUAGAAUACCUACUCUGAAGUCAUGGCACAGUGAUGAGCCAGCUGAAUCUCUGUGGAAUAUAUUGUGCCAAAUGCUGAUGCAGCCAGAUAUGCAGACUUCGACUUGGUGCCAAGAAGCCCUUCCUGACUGGAGUUUCCAACAGUGAGACAGACCACCUGGGAUGAAGUGGGCUUGUGAGGAAAAUGGAAACAGAGAUGGCCGCUGUCGUUCAGGGAGGGAUGUGCUGGGGUG